rnacentral:rRNA from 5 species
UACGGCGACCAUAGCGAAGGGGAAAUACCCGGUCACAUUCCGAACCCGGAAGUCAAGCCCUUCAGCGCCGAUGGUACUGCACUGGAGACGGUGUGGGAGAGUAGGACGUCGCCGGAC